UAUAAUUUUCUUUUCCCUUUAUUAAUCUUCUGUGCAAUAGGACAACCCAAUCCACUUGGUCUGGAGUGUUAUAAUUCUUGGGUUUUCUCCUACAUACUGUAUAUCCUGACUGUUUUCCCUGCUAGAUCCUGCAAUAAGAAGGAAGAAUUGGUUGAUGGUCGUCUCCAUGUCAGUGGAAAAGCGAAUCUGCUUGAGUUUUCAUCUGCAUGUUAAAGAAGCCACUCAAAGUGCUGAAUGUAUUUUGGGCCAGUGUUCAGCAUUUUGGAUUAUUGCCUUCCAGUCAACUUUGACUUAUGCAACUCUAUAAAUAAUAGUCCUCCAAGUAACAGAUCAUCAAGACCCCUGCUCAGGUCUUGCAAACUCAAGACCAUGGCUUCUCUGACUAAGUCUAUCCAUCUUCUAUGCAGUCUCGUCCGCUUUUCCUACUUCCCUCAACCAUACCAAGCACCUUGGAUAGCUACUUUAACGUUGAGACUGAAACCAAGAUCAGACCCCCAACAAGCUGCCAUGGAGAUAUAAAACCAAGGGCAGGAAUUUGGUCUGGAGGGAAGAUAUGAAAACAUAACACGUCCCCAGUUGUCACACAGACUCUCCCAGACUAUGAUUUUAGCAUAUAUCAACUCAACAGGACUUCAGCCAGAUGCUGCCAGUAACCCUACCUUCUUCUGACUGUUAAAUGACUGUGGAAGGACAUUCCAGCACUGAGGCAUUGCCUUCAAGGGGAAAUUGCAAAAGGAGGCACUGAAUGCCUCCUUCCACAACAUAUCAAAAGCAACAUACUCCUGGUUACCCAUACCUGUGUAUAUCACCAACAGAAUUUUGGUGCAUGUAAAUAAAAACCUGAAACUUUCUGUUAGCCCCAACUACAUUAGAUUAAUUGAAUCAAGGAACUUUGAUAUAUAAAUACUGAUUU